GACAGAGGAUGCAAGCGUUAUCCGGAAUGAUUGGGCGUAAAGCGUCUGUAGGUGGCUUUUUAAGUCCGCCGUCAAAUCCCAGGGCUCAACCCUGGACAGGCGGUGGAAACUACCAAGCUGGAGUACGGUAGGGGGCAGAGGGAAUUUCCAGUGGAGCGGUGAAAUGCGUAGAGAUUGGAAAGAACACCAAUGGCGAAAGCACUUUACUGGGCUAUUACUGACACUGAGAGACGAAAGCUAGGGGAGCGAAUGGG
rnacentral:rRNA from 1 species